AUUGAACGCUGGCGGCAGGCCUAACACAUGCAAGUCGAGCGGAGCGGCGGACGGGUGAGUAAUGCCUAGGAAUCUGCCUGUUAGUGGGGUAUAACGUCCGGAAACGGGCGCUAAUACCGCAUACUAUCAGAUGAGGCUAGGUCGGAUUAGCUAGUUGGUGGGGUAAAGGCCUACCAAGGCGACGAUCCGUAACUGGUCUGAGAGGAUGAUCAGUCAGACUGGAAAUGGGACACGGUGCAGACUCCUACGGGAGGAAGCAGUGGGGAAUAUUGGACAAUAGGCGAAAGCCUGAGCCAGGGAGGACGCGUGGGGGAUGAAGGCUUGCGGGUUGUAAACCUGUUUCGCUAUCGAACGGGUAGGUAGAGAAGAAGCGCCGGCUAACUACGUGCCAGCAGCCGCGGUAAUAC
rnacentral:rRNA from 1 species